rnacentral:rRNA from 1 species
CAAUAGCGUAUAUUAAAGUUGUUGCAGUUAAAAAGCUCGUAGUUGGAUCUGAGGAUUGGGACGGAUAGUUCACUUUAUAGUGGUACUGUCUGUUCAGCCUACAUAGUCGUGGAUAUCUUUGGUCCUCUUCAUUGAGUGCCUUUGGUGCCCGACGCAUUUACUUUGAGAAAAUUAGAGUGUUCAAAGCAGGCUAUCGCUUGAAUAUUUCAGCAUGGAAUAAUGGAAUAGGACAUUGGUUCUAUUUUGUUGGUUUCUAGGACCGAAGUAAUGAUUAAUAGGGAUAGUUGGGGGCAUUAGUAUUCAAUUGUCAGAGGUGAAAUUCUUGGAUUUAUUGAAGACUAACUACUGCGAAAGCAUUUGCCAAGGACGUUUUCAUUAAUCAAGAACGAAAGUUAGGGGAU